rnacentral:rRNA from 1 species
GACGAGGGAUCCUAGCGUUGUUCGGAAUCAUUGGGCGUAAAGCGGGUGUAGGUGGCUUUAUAAGUCAGGUGUGAAAGCCCAGGGCUCAACCCUGGAAGUGCAUUUGAUACUGCAAAGCUUGAGUGCUAGAGAGGUAAGUAGAAUACCUGGUGUAGUGGUGAAAUACGUAGAUAUCAGGUGGAAUACCGGAGGCGAAGGCGGCUUACUGGCUAGACACUGACACUCAGACCCGAAAGUGUGGGGAUCAAACAGG